UCUUCUCCAGAGAAGAACACGAACCAAGCCUCAAUUUUAGUCCAAAUCCAAAGCGAGUGAGCCUCAAAUCUAUCCUCACGCUUCCUCCUUCUCUCCUCAUUACCAUUUCUAACGAUUUCUGACGCCAGUAUUCCCCUCUCCUGUCACUCGCUCGAAAUUGAGUUUUAUCUCACGAUAAGAACCUUCUAGGACUGAUUUUCUAGAUGAGUGUGAGGCGUUAAAUUGAUUUCACUCAAUCCAAGCCCCACAUUCAUUAGGAAUUCAUUUUUAAAAGGAGCUAUAUUCGAUUUUGAAAGGGGGCUCGGAAAAAUUUGAAAAAAAAGGGUUGAAAGGUUUCUAAUAUAAAACUUCUAGUUUUCAUAUUCUAUUUUCUUCUUUGAAGAGUUAUUUCAAUGUUUAAGGGGAACAUAAAUAUUAAUUUUUUUAUUUUUGAAUCCGAUUUUUGAAUGCCUAAGAAAUAGACAUGAAUGGAGGUUGUUCAAUUGGUGGUUAGAUUUAAGUUCGUCGACUUUGAUUUUCUACUAUCGCCUUGCUAGUUGCUGAUAAGCCUCGUUAGGAUUUGGAGUCGAAAGGUGUGUUGUCGAAUCUGUAAUUAUUACAGGAAGUUUGAAAUAUCAGGUUAAGUUUCUUUUCUCUUCUACAUUUCUGUUUUAAAGUGGCUUGAACCAUGAGAUUUUGUUCGAUGGUAUUCUGCAAGUGAAGGAGAAACAGGAAUCUGUAAUUAUUACAGGAAGUUUAAAAUAUCAGGUUAAGUUUCUUUUCUCUUCUACAUUUCUGUUUUAAAGUGGCUUGAACCAUGAGAUUUUGUUCGAUGGUAUUCUGCUCCGUGAUUGAAUUUUUGUUGAUGAAUUUCUUCUCAAUGGUAUGAUGUGCUUGAGUAGAUCCAACCAGUAGAAGCUGAGUCUGAAGAGUUGCCCUCUGUGCUUUUGCUUUAAUUGCUAUCAUGAUGUCGAGUUUUCAUUUACGUCAAGAUUUCUAGUUAAUUUUCUGAGUUUAAAGGUCUACUAGGAUGGUUCUAGUGAGGAAAUUUGACAGCCUGUUCAAGGUUAGAUUUCUGCUUGAGUUGUUGCAUCACUGAACAUUAUCAGCUCUUUCUCUGCUGAUUUGAGUUUGUA
rnacentral:lncRNA from 1 species